GGGUGCUGGCGGCCGGUGUAGCGUGCGACUGCGCGACACCGGUGGCGAGAUCCAAAUCAGAUCGCUAAACAUGUAGAACUGCGCGAGGAAGGCUUGCGGACGGGGGUUCGAAUCCCCCCAGCUCCACCA
rnacentral:tRNA from 1 species